rnacentral:rRNA from 1 species
GAUGAACGCUGGCGGCGUGCCUAAUACAUGCAAGUCGAGCGGACAGACGAGGAGCUUGCUCCUCUGACGUUAGCGGCGGACGGGUGAGUAACACGUGGAUAACCUACCUAUAAGACUGGGAUAACUUCGGGAAACCGGAGCUAAUACCGGAUAAUAUAUUGAACCGCAUGGUUCAAUAGUGAAAGACGGUUUUGCUGUCACUUAUAGAUGGAUCCGCGCCGCAUUAGCUAGUUGGUAAGGUAACGGCUUACCAAGGCAACGAUGCGUAGCCGACCUGAGGGGGUGAUCGGCCACACUGGAACUGAGACACGGUCCAGACUCCUACGGGAGGCAGCAGUAGGGAAUCUUCCGCAAUGGGCGAAAGCCUGACGGAGCAACGCCGCGUGAGUGAUGAAGGUCUUCGGAUCGUAAAACUCUGUUAUUAGGGAAGAACAAAUGUGUAAGUAACUAUGCACGUCUUGACGGUACCUAAUCAGAAAGCCACGGCUAACUACGUG